UAGUUUUGCCCUAAAAAUAUCAAUUAUUGGCAUAUAACGGCAUUCCUUCGCCUAUUUCCCCUAAAAAUAUCAAUCUUAUAGAUUAGGCACUUCAAUUCCACGAUCUUCUCACCCCACGAAUUCUUCUACGUUGGAUUCUUAUAAUAUGAUUUUGCAGUUUUCUCAAAUCAAUUUUCUUCUUCUACAGUAUAUAGUUUUAUUCUUUCUCCCUCGCGUGCAUAUCAAAUAGCACUUCUUGACUAUUCUUUUUCCAUGGCGUGUAUAUCCUCCAUCGCCUGCAUAUCAAAUAACAAUUCUGGACUACAAGAAGUGAUUGGCAUGAUUUGUAUUCCAUGAAAAAUCUUUAAAUUUCUAUAACAGGUAACUAAAUACAAUUCUUUUUAUUAUUUCAGUUGAAAUUGUAUUUCUACAACAGAUAAUUUUUGUGAAGUUUGUUGACGGCGCAAGUUAUAUGGAAAAGAUCAGAUUUUCAUAAUCUAUAUGUGUGUUUGUGUAUUGGUUAUCACAAAUCUUUAUAACGUGUUGAAAUUUUUUAUUAGGAGGUAAGUGUUAACUGUGUUAUUUGCUUAAUUUUGCUGUCUUACUUUAUUUUCUAACACAAACUUUCUUAAUUAUUUUUUGAACGACUUAAAGUUAAUGUUUUUGUCAAUAUUCUAAUAGCAUUCUCCCAAUUUCCUGAAUUAUAUUAUAGGAGUUUCCUAGCAUAUUUUGCCUAAGCUAAUACCAUAAUAUAUUAUUCUCCCCAUCCCCUUUAUGUUAUGUCGUUCACUCUUUUAACAUUGACUGGUCAAUUUUUUGCCAGAGUAUACGAUAAGAGUGCUAUAAAGUGCAAUAGGAGGGACGUAAAUAUUAAUUUUAAACUAAGCACAUGUGAAGGGAAAUUAAGUUACGAUGUUGAUAAUAGAGGUAAUAUAUUAAGGCUUUAUUACAAAUUUUGAAUACUUUAUGAUUGUUUUUCCUUUUUAGUUCUGUAAUUAUCAUAUUUAACGAUAUACUUUUUUCAUUCAUGCGGGGCUACCUUCUCUAAUCCAUUGAACUUGGGAACUGCCACAUCUAUUUUAACUAAUGAUUAGAUUAACAUCACAUGACAAAUGAAAUCUCUGAAUUUCUGCAUGUCUUAUAUUCAUGGGCGAAGCUACAUGUUAUAAAGGAUGGUCAACUGAUCACCCUUUGUCGAAAAACUACACUGCAUAUAUAGGUAAAAUGUUAAAUUUUAGAGGUAUAUAACAUAUAAUGAAACUCUUUCUCGGAGAAUUUUUUUCACUUUUUCCAAGUUUGAACGCCCUUGAGUAAUUUUUGGAUUCGCCACUCUCAUAUGAUUUAUAUAGUAGAGCUGUGAUAAUUUUGUAACAUGCUUUUCAUUCGGAAUUUUUUUGAGCCAUUGAUUUAUGAGAUAUCUAAAAAAGGAACAUUGAUCAUUUAUACUUUAUUAGUUACACAUGUUUUAGUAAAUUUUUGGGAACUUAAUUUCCCUUUGUAAAGUUUCAAAUGGAUUAGUAACAACUGCUGGUUGUGCUAUAGCGGAGCUUUUUUUGGUAAUUAAGAAUUUCAUUAAUCACCAAUGAAAUAACAUUAUAAAAUCAUAGUCUAGCUUUAACUCAGUUGACCAUCUCUAAUAUAACAAUUUAACUGUAUCUAAUGUCCUAAUUACCUAACAAUACUAGAUUUGAAGGUAUUGUAAGUGGUUUCUAAUUCGAGGGGUACCUUUAACAUUACAAGUGUAUACUAUGUCUCUCAAAAGGGUUUCAUUGCAAUGAAAUGUAUUGUUGUGGAUUCUUGAGUUCCUUUCUAGCCAGAUAGUAUAUGCAAACUCAGCAGCUACCAUUUUGAAGAUGGUUGCUCGACAUGUUCUACCUUUAGCUUUACUUAUGAGCCACUGCAGUUUCUGGUUCCAGGCAGUAAGGUGAGGGUAAGUCUCCUGCAGCCAGGCAUUGUUUUCCCCCAUAGUUCA
rnacentral:lncRNA from 1 species